UGGGGAGUGGUGUAACGGGCAGCACGCGGGUUUUUGGUACCCGAAGAUCUGGUUCGAAUCCAGGCUCCCCAG
rnacentral:tRNA from 1 species